UGACCAUACCUCCUUGAAACAUCAGUUCAUGUACAAUCACCAAAGUUAAGCAACAUUGACCCUGCUCAGUACCUAGAUGGGUGACUGCUAGGGAAUACCAGGUGCUGUAAG